ensembl:lncRNA
GGGCAAUCUCUGAGUGUCAGCUUCCCAAGGUGAUGAAUAGGCUGAAAGUGAAAGAAAAAAAGGCACAGCGAAGAGUAAAGCUGCCUGUUACAACCUCCAUCAAGCAAGUGGGAAAAUGCUUCAGCUCUGAGAGACUGACUCAGGGUACCGAAGAGAAUGUUCUUGAAAAGAAUUGUUUGCCACUGGGGUUAGGAGGAAGCAUGUCCCAAGAUGCAACCUUAUCUAAAAGAGCAAACCUCUAUUCACCGUUCUUCAAGAUGAUAUCCCAAAGUGUAGAGAAGCACCAAAGCAGAAGGGUCACCAGCUGCACAGAAAAGACAGUUACUUAUCUGGAUCACAAUGCAAAGAGCAGUUCAAGCAGGGAAGAAAGAAAAGUGAAGAACAGGUCACCACUGAAAAGUUCAAGGUCCUGCCGAAACAGGACAACAAACCAAGGAGCGAAUGUUAGGAUGAUCAAGUCAUGCCAGACACAAGAAUCACUGCAGCUUUCUCUCCCUAUCGUGCCUGGUGCAAAGGGCAGGGAAUCCAAUGAAAAGUGUCAUGAGAGUGAACC